rnacentral:rRNA from 1 species
UGUUAAGUUCACUGCCUGGGGAGUACGGUCGCAAGGCUGAAACUUAAAGGAAUUGGCGGGGGAGCACUGCAACGGGAGGAGCGUGCGGUUUAAUUGGAUUCAACGCCGGAAAACUCACCAAGGCCGACUGUUAGAUGAAGAUCAGCGUAAUGAGCUUAUCGGAUUUUCAGAGAGGUGGUGCAUGGCCGUCGUCAGUUCGUACUGUAAAGCGUUCUGUUAAGUCAGAUAACGAACGAGACCCUCAUCUUUAUUUGCUACCCCAUUCCCCGGAAUGGGCGCACUAUAGAGAGACCGCUGGUGUGAAACCAGAGGAAGGCGAGGGCAACGACAGGUCAGUAUGCCCCGAAUGUCUUGGGCUACACGCGCGCUACAAAGGACAGGACAAUGGGAUGCUAGGCCGAGAGGCAUUCACGCUAACCCGAAACCUGUUCAUAGUUCGGAUUGAGGGCUGUAACUCGCCCUCAUGAAGCUGGAUUCCGUAGUAAUCGUGUUUCAAUAUAGCACGGUGAAUAUGCCCCUGCUCCUUGCACACACCGCCCGUCAAACCAUCUUAGUUGGGGGUGGGUGAGGCUGCGCUUCAUGGCGUAUUCGAGCCUGCCUUCGACAAGGAGGGUUAAGUCGUAACAAGGUAUCUGUAGGGGAACCUGCAGAUG